rnacentral:rRNA from 1 species
GACGAACGCUGGCGGCGUGCUUAACACAUGCAAGUCGAACGGAAAGGCCCUGCUUUUGUGGGGUGCUCGAGUGGCGAACGGGUGAGUAACACGUGAGUAACCUGCCCUUGACUUUGGGAUAACUUCAGGAAACUGGGGCUAAUACCGGAUAGGAGCUCCUGCUGCAUGGUGGGGGUUGGAAAGUUUCGGCGGUUGGGGAUGGACUCGCGGCUUAUCAGCUUGUUGGUGGGGUAGUGGCUUACCAAGGCUUUGACGGGUAGCCGGCCUGAGAGGGUGACCGGCCACAUUGGGCCUGAGAGACGGCCCAGACUCCUACGGGAGGCAGCAGUGGGGAAUAGUGCACAAUGGGCGGAAGCCGGAUGCAGCAACGCCGCGUGCGGGAUGACGGCCUUCGGGUUGUAAACCGCUUUCGCCUGUGACGAAGCGUGAGUGACGGUAAUGGGUAAAGAAGCACCGGCUAACUACGUG